rnacentral:lncRNA from 1 species
UCAUUUUGAGCAGCUUUGACACAAAAUUAGCUUAUGAAUAAAACUAAACAUUUUUACAUUUAGGGUGCUAAAAUUAUUAAAUGUAACGCUUCUAUCUAUAUUUAUUGUACUUCUUCUUGUCACUAUUAGAAUGGAGAUUGUCCUUAAAAUUCAAGUUUCUGAUUAUAGUUGAUGCUACAUUUUUAUGGCUUCUUCUUUGGGAUGAAUCAAAAGGG